AGGCCAAGAUAGCCUAUAUGAUUCAGGCUU
rnacentral:piRNA from 1 species